rnacentral:rRNA from 1 species
UACAGAGGGUGCAAGCGUUGUCCGGAAUCACUGGGCGUAAAGGGCGCGUAGGUGGCGCGGGCAGUCAACGGUGAAAGUUCGGGGCUCAACCCUGAAUCGGCCGUCGAUACUCCCGGGCUUGAGCACUGUAGAGGCAGAUGGAAUUCCGGGUGUAGCGGUGGAAUGCGUAGAGAUCCGGAAGAACACCGGUGGCGAAGGCGGUCUGCUGGGCAGUAGCUGACACUGAGGCGCGACAGCGUGGGGGAGCAAACAGG